rnacentral:rRNA from 1 species
CCUGGAGACUCCUACGGGAGGCAGCAGUGGGGAAUAUUGGACAAUGGACCAAGAGUCUGAUCCAGCAAUUCUGUGUGCACGAUGAAGUUUUUCGGAAUGUAAAGUGCUUUCAGUUGGGAAGAAAAAAAUGACGGUACCAACAGAAGAAGUGACGGCUAAAUACGUGCCAGCAGCCGCGGUAAUACGUAUGUCACAAGCGUUAUCCGGAUUUAUUGGGCGUAAAGCGCGUCUAGGUGGUUAUGUAAGUCUGAUGUGAAAAUGCAGGGCUCAACUCUGUAUUGCGUUGGAAACUGUGUAACUAGAGUACUGGAGAGGUAAGCGGAACUACAAGUGUAGAGGUGAAAUUCGUAGAUAUUUGUAGGAAUGCCGAUGGGGAAGCCAGCUUACUGGACAGAUACUGACGCUGAAGCGCGAAAGCGUGGGUAGCAAACAGGAUUAGAUACCCCGGUAGUCCUAUC